rnacentral:tRNA from 1 species
GGGGCUGUGGUGUAGUGGGUUAAAGCCUCAGCCUGCAGUGCUGACAUCCCAAAUUGGCAUGGGUUCGAGUCCCAGCUGCUCCA